rnacentral:tRNA from 1 species
AGAGCAUCUGACUGUUAAUCAGAGGGUCCUAGGUUCGAGUCCUAGUGUAGGCG